rnacentral:tRNA from 1 species
CGCCCUGCUGGGCGAGGCCUGCGUCCUGGCCGCCAUCGUCGGCUCGGCGCUGAAGUUCGACGGCCGCCUGAUCGUUCAGGCCCAGGGCGAC